rnacentral:rRNA from 1 species
GACGAACGCUGGCGGCGUGCUUAACACAUGCAAGUCGUACGGUAAGGCCCUUUCGGGGGUACACGAGUGGCGAACGGGUGAGUAACACGUGAGUAACCUGCCCACAACUUUGGGAUAACGCUAGGAAACUGGUGCUAAUACUGGAUAUGUGCUCCUGCUGCAUGGUGGGGGUUGGAAAGCUCCGGCGGUUGUGGAUGGACUCGCGGCCUAUCAGCUUGUUGGUGGGGUAGUGGCCUACCAAGGCGGCGACGGGUAGCCGGCCUGAGAGGGUGACCGGCCACAUAGAGACUGAGAUACGGCCCAGACUCCUACGGGAGGAAGCAGUGGGGAAUAUUGCACAAGGGGCGCAAGCCUGAUGCAGCAACGCCGCGUGCGGGAUGACGGCCUUCGGGUUGUAAACCGCUUUCAGCAGGGACGAAGCUUUUUGUGACGGUACCUGCAGAAGAAGCACCGGCUAACUACGUG